AUGCUGCGCGGCUCCCUCUGGCGGCUCCUGGCCGUGGCCGUGGCCGUGCCGGCGGCGACGCGGGCGGUGGCCGCCCUGAAGGCCGGUCGGAGCCUGCACCGGGACUUCGACGACGGCCGGGUGGUGGAGCUGGCGCUGGACCGGGAGACGGGGUCCAGGCUGGAGUCCAAGGACCGGUACCUCUUCGGGCGGUUCGAUCUCGACAUCAGGCUCGUCGCCGACGAGUCCGCCGGGACCAUCACUUCCUUCUAUGAGGGAAGCAGCGGAUGCGAGCCAGGAGGCGGAUCGGCUCGACCCAGCCAUGGAGCUGCCGCUGCGGACUCCCUGCCGGCCUCCUUCGUCUUCAUGUGGAUUUGCAUGGCAAGUGAUGUUGCGUUGCCAAUGACACAUCUAGAAUUGCUGUUCGUGACUCCUGUAGAUGUUCCUGAAUUUUUCUUUGUAGUGGUUGGGUGCUGCCAUAAAACCUGUAACAGCAGCAAGAUGCAGUUCUCGGCAAAUCGCUUUUAG
rnacentral:rRNA from 1 species